rnacentral:rRNA from 1 species
UACGUAGGGCGCAAGCGUUGUCCGGAAUUAUUGGGCGUAAAGAGCUCGUAGGCGGUCUGUCGCGUCUGCUGUGAAAAUCCAGGGCUCAACCCUGGACCUGCAGUGGGUACGGGCAGACUAGAGUGCGGUAGGGGAGAUCGGAAUUCCGUGGUGUAGCGGUGAAAUGCGCAGAUAUCGAGGAGAACAGCCGGUGGCGAAGGCGGUUCUCUGGGCCUUACCUGACGCUGAGGAGCGAAAGCGUGGGGAGCAACAGG